UACGAAGGGGGCUAGCGUUGUUCGGAAUUACUGGGCGUAAAGCGCGCGCAGGCGGUCUUCCAAGUCAGUGGUGAAAGCCCGGAGCUCAACUCCGGAACUGCCAUUGAAACUGUGAGACUUGAGUAUGAGAGAGGUGAGUGGAAUUCCCAGUGUAGAGGUGAAAUUCGUAGAUAUUCGCAAGAACACCAGUGGCGAAGGCGGCUCACUGGCCCGAUACUGACGCUGAGGCACGAAAGCGUGGGGAGCAAACAG
rnacentral:rRNA from 1 species